rnacentral:rRNA from 1 species
UACAGAGGUCCCAAGCGUUGUUCGGAUUCACUGGGCGUAAAGGGUGCGUAGGUGGUUAGGUAAGUCAGGUGUGAAAUCUCCACGCUCAACGUGGAGGCGCCACCUGAAACUGCCGUGACUCGAGUCCGGUAGGGGAGUGUGGAAUUCCCGGUGUAGCGGUGAAAUGCGCAGAUAUCGGGAGGAACACCAAUGGCGAAGGCAGCUCGCUGGGACGUUACUGACGCUGAGACGCGAAAGCGUGGGGAGCAAACAGG